UACGGGGGGGGCAAGCGUUGUUCGGAAUUACUGGGCGUAAAGGGCUCGUAGGUGGCCAACUAAGUCAGACGUGAAAUCCCCAGGCUCAACCUGGGAACUGCGUCUGAUACUGGGAGGCUAGAGUAUGGGAGAGGGAUGUGGAAUUCCAGGUGUAGCGGUGAAAUGCGUAGAUAUUAGGAGGAACACCAGUGGCGAAGGCGGCUUACUGGACUGUAACUGACGUUGAGGCUCGGAAAGCGUGGGGAGCAAACAGG
rnacentral:rRNA from 1 species